CGGGAAAAGGAUUGGCUCUAAGGGUUGAUUUGAAAAAAACUAUUAGUAUCAUUUGUUUUUUGUAUUUUUGGAUGUUCCAAUCAGUAUGAAAAAAAAGAUGUCAAAUUAAUAGGGAAUUUAAACGGAAAACUAGUUUUUUUGGUUUUCAUUCUUUUUUCAAAAAUUAAACAACCAACUUAGAACUGGUACGGACAAAGGGAAUCCGACUGUUUAAUUAAAA
rnacentral:rRNA from 12 species